rnacentral:tRNA from 1 species
UUCUAAUAUGGCAGAUU